CCUUGGAUAACUCUGGAGGUAGUGCCAGUUUGUAGGCGGCGACACCAAUUUUGCCUAAGAUCUUAAAUUCUCCAAUGAACCGGGAAUUUAAUUUCCCUCUUUUGCCAAACCUACUGAUUCCCUUGAAUGGGGUGACCUUAAGGAACACUCGAUCACCUUUCUCAAAUUUAAAAUUCAUCAUUCGGGUGUUCACAUAACUCUUCUGCCUGCUCUGAGUUGUCUAGAU
rnacentral:lncRNA from 1 species